ensembl:lncRNA
CCCUGUUCAGCUGUGGACGUCGCUCAGCCUCCCUGCUCCAUGGCAGAUAGCGUUCCCCUCUUCUGCUUCGAGGAGACCCACGCUCCUCUCCCUGGCCGCACGGAGACCCACGCUCCUCUCCCUGGCCUUACAGGGGACUUUGCUCUGCCUUCCAGUUCAGCUGGGGACGUCGCUCCGCUUUGAUGUUCCGACGAGGACGUCGCCCUGUUUCCCUGCUCGGCCGCGUACAGUGCUCUGUUUCCCUGCUCGGCCGAGGUCAUCGCUCUUCUUUCCUGCUCGGCCGAGGACGUCGCUCCGCCUUCCUGCUCGGCCGAGGUCGUCGCUCCGCCUUCCUGCUCCGCUGAGGAUGUUGCUCCGCCUCCAUGUUCCACUAAAGACGUCGCUCCUUUUCUUCGCUUCUCUGUGUGUCGCUCCCCCUUCCUGCUCCACGGAGGACAUCGCUCCCCCUUCCUGCUCCACGGAGGACAUCGCUCCCCCUUCCUGCUCCACGGAGGACCUCGCUCCUCUCCCUGGCCUCGCGGAGAACCUCGCUCCCCUCUCCUGUCCAGUGGAGGAUGUCGCCCCGCUUUCAUGCUCUGCCUAGGACAUCGCCCCGCUUUCCUGUUCAGCUGAGGUCGUCACUCAGACUCCCCGUUCAGCUGAGGUCGUCGCUCGGCCCGCCUGUUCAGCUGGGGACGUCGCUCGGCCUUCCAGUUCAGCUGGGGACGUCGCCCCGCUUUCAUGCUCUGCCGAGGAAAUAUCUCAGCCUCCCUGUGCCAUUGUAGAAGCCGCCAGGCCUCCUGGUUUUGCGGGGGACAAUUUCUCCAGGGGGCCAGGACCACCAGAUGGAGGACGUAUAAUUUUGGGCGCUCCGGGAGUAGCGCCCUUGGGGGAGGGUUCUGUCAUGUAUCGGGAAACUCUGGACUCCACUUCCCAUCAGCCACUGCACUGCUCUAGUUGUCACAUGACCACCUGCACCUGAUUCAUGUUUUGGUUAAUGAGCACUCGUGUGUGUGUGUAUAUAUAGUCCUGGUCUGCACUAUGUGCUUGUCUUUCGUUGUUUUAGACCCCUGUGUUCCAUGUUUCUUGAUCUUGUUAGUUUAUGUUUAGUUUUGCCACAGUAUUCUGCCAAGUAGUCUUAGAUUCAUGUUGUUUAUGUCUCAGUGUUCGUUUCAUGCCACAGUGUGUUUCCAAGUUGUCAGUGUAUUCGUUUCUUAGUAGGUUUCCUUCAAUAAAUGUCAUUAUCUGCACCUGCUUCUGGCUCAACCUCGACUUGUGACACCAUUCUUUCUGAACAGACCACUGUUCCAACUGUUAAUAUUACUGAUGAGCCAAUCACACUAGACAUGUGGGCCCAGAUGCAAG